AUCGCUUCUCGGCCUUUUGGCUAAGAUCAAAGUGUAGUAUCUGUUCUUUUCAGCUUAAUAUCUGAAAGUUCCCUCACUGAGGGACCAGUAUAUUAAACUGAUUUUUGUAAACUGACGGGAUGUUCGGGGCUCGCUCCACUCCCGUCACGGGUCGGCCCGGCAUUGCAGUGUGCAGUGCCGCCGGGAUCGGCCCACAUAAA